CGAAAGGCGCAACGAUCUGGGCACUGUCUCAACGAGAGACUCGGUGAAAUUAUAGUACCUGUGAAGAUGCAGGUUACCCGCGACAGGACGGAAAGACCCCGUGGAGCUUUACUGCAACCUGAUAUGGAAUGUUUGUACCGCUUGUACAGGAUAGGUAGGAGCCGAAGAGACGUGUGCGCUAGCAUACGAGGAGGCAAUGGUGGGAUACUACCCUGGCUGUAUGACCAUUCUAACCCGCCACGCUUAGCGCGUGGGGAGACAGUGUCAGGUGGGCAGUUUGACUGGGGCGGUCGCCUCCUAAAGAGUAACGGAGGCGCCCAAAGGUUCCCUCAGAAUGGAUGGAAAUCAUUCGCAGAGUGUAAAGGCACAAGGGAGCUUGACUGCGAGACUGACAAGUCGAGCAGGGACGAAAGUCGGGCUUAGUGAUCCGGUGGUUCCGCAUGGAAGGGCCAUCGCUCAACGGAUAAAAGCUACCCCGGGGAUAACAGGCUUAUCUCCCCCAAGAGUCCACAUCGACGGGGAGGUUUGGCACCUCGAUGUCGGCUCGUCGCAUCCUGGGGCUGUAGUCGGUCCCAAGGGUUGGGCUGUUCGCCCAUUAAAGCGGCACGCGAGCUGGGUUCAGAACGUCGUGAGACAGUUCGGUCCCUAUCCGUCGCGGGCGCAGGAAAUUUGAGAGGAGCUGUCCUUAGUACGAGAGGACCGGGAUGGACACACCGCUGGUGUACCAGUUGUUCCGCCAGGAGCAUCGCUGGGUAGCUAUGUGUGGCAGGGAUAAACGCUGAAAGCAUCUAAGCGUGAAGCCCCCCUCAAGAUGAGAUUUCCCAUUUCUUCGGAAAGUAAGAUCCCUGAAAGAUGAUCAGGUAGAUAGGUUUGGAGUGGAAGUGUAGCGAUACAUGGAGCGGACAAAUACUAAUCGAUCGAGGACUUAACCAAAA
rnacentral:rRNA from 1 species